UCCUACGGGAGGCAGCAGUAGGGAAUCUUCCGCAAUGGACGAAAGUCUGACGGAGCAACGCCGCGUGAGUGAUGAAGGCUUUCGGGUCGUAAAACUCUGUUGUUAGGGAAGAACAUGUGCUAGUUGAAUAAGCUGGCACCUUGACGGUACCUAACCAGAAAGCCACGGCUAACUACGUGCCAGCAGCCGCGGUAAUACGUAGGUGGCAAGCGUUAUCCGGAAUUAUUGGGCGUAAAGCGCGCGCAGGUGGUUUCUUAAGUCUGAUGUGAAAGCCCACGGCUCAACCGUGGAGGGUCAUUGGAGACUGGGAGACUUGAGUGCAGAAGAGGAAAGUGGAAUUCCAUGUGUAGCGGUGAAAUGCGUAGAGAUAUGGAGGAACACCAGUGGCGAAGGCGACUUUCUGGUCUGUAACUGACACUGAGGCGCGAAAGCGUGGGGAGCAAACAGGAUUAGAUACCCUGGUAGUCCACGCCGUAAACGAUGAGUGCUAAGUGUUAGAGGGCUUCCGCCCUUUAGUGCUGAAGUUAACGCAUUAAGCACUCCGCCUGGGGAGUACGACCGCAAGGCUGAAACUCAAAGG
rnacentral:rRNA from 1 species